rnacentral:rRNA from 1 species
CGUGAAAAAAUUAGAGUGUUCAAAGCAGGCAGAUCCAAUUUUCUGCCACCGAAUACAUUAGCAUGGGAUAAUGGAAUAGGACCCUGUCCUCCUAUUUUCAGUUGGUUUUGGCAGCGCGAGGACUAGGGUAAUGAUUAAUAGGGAUAGUUGGGGGCAUUAAUAUUUAAUUGUCAGAGGUGAAAUUCUUGGAUUUAUGAAAGAUUAACUUCUGCGAAAGCAUCUGCCAAGGAUGUUUUCAUUAAUCAAGAACGAAAGUUAGGGGAUCGAAGACGAUCAGAUACCGUCGUAGUCUUAACCAUAAACGAUGCCGACCAGCGAUUAGGAGACGUUGAAUACAAAACACCACCAUCGGUGCGGUCGUCCUUGGCGUCUUUGUUUCGGCCGGGGUGCGGGGACGGCUUAGCCCGGUGGCACCGGUGAAUGACUCCCCUAGCAGCUUGUGAGA